GAUUUGGAUGUCAUAUCAAAACUGUAAUCCACGGUAUAUGAACCAAGAGCCUCAUCUUCUAAUGUUGACGAUGUCGACUUCGAAUUCAUCCUAUCAGCCAGAUGAACGGUGUUAUACAAGAUGGCGGUCCGAUUUCGAUGCCGAUGCAAAUUAUACUUGAUCCGAGGAAAAUUUAACAAUAUUGAAUCGUUGAGUGAAUCAAUGAUUGAAUGGUCGAUCUUCCAUUAGGUAUUAACAGUUCCUCACCAGCAUUUGUACGAAGGAUGCGUUUAGGGUGGACUUGCAGUUAAAAUGGUAGUCUUGCAUUAAGAUGGUUAAGGAGGAAAGCCAGUGAAAGACCAAUGCUCUCUCCGUUUGCCAGCCCUUACAAUCUUUCCGUUCCAUCAUCAUGCAGCGAGUCUUCGUUACAAAAUCAACAGCGGCCUUUCUGGAACGCAUUUACAGAAGAAAAGUGCGCCAAAUCGGAGCCAUUAACCGCCAACAGAUAGUCGGCCAUCUUGCCAGCGUGACUUGCAAUCUGAUUUAUCUUUUCACUCUUAUGGUUGAAUUGGAAGCUGCCGUUUUUGAGAUAAUCCCUGUUGUCAACCCCGAAGGUUUCCCCAAAAAUCCUAGGGAAGAGUGUAAUCGAACCCUUGGAAGCAGAUUUCUUGCGCCCCCCUGUGCCAUCAUCAACGAUCUUUAAAGGGCAUCGUUACAAAAUCAACAGCAGCCUUUUUGGAAGGCAUUUAUAGAAGAAAAGUGCGCCAAAUCGGAGCCAUUAACCGCCAACAGGUAGUCGGCCAUCUUGCCAGCGUGACUUGCAAUCGGAUUUAUCUUUUCACUCCUAUGGUUGAAUUGGAAGCUGCCGUUUUUGAGGUAAUCCUGUUGUCAACCCCGAAGGUUUGCCCAAAAAUCCUUGGGAAGAGUGUAAUCGAACCCUUGGAAGCAGUUUUCUUGCGCCCCCUCUGCUAUCAUCAACGAUCUUUAAAGGGGUGGACCAAUUUGGAUACUGUACCAAAGUAUAAAUACUUGGAUUCAAGGGAAAUUCAAACUACGGAAAAGCUAGUGUUCCAUACAGACAGUGUGGACAUUUAUACACUACAUCACAAGUUUCCUCCAGUCUGUGCAUGAAAGGUGGACCGAUUUGGAUGUACCCGUCAAAGUAAUUUAUCCCAGGAAAAAUGUGCCAGAUGAUGAAAGCGUUCUGAUAUUGACGGUGGGAAUAAUUAUGCGAUACACAAUCCCAUCUCUUCAGCCUGUGCGUGAAAGGUGGACCAAUAGGACGCUGUACCAAAGGAGUUGAUUCAAGGAAAAUUCAAACUACUGAUAAGCCAAACCCAAUAUAGGCAGUGUGGUUACACUAUUACGUCACUGUGUUUCACCAGUCAUUGAAUGCUGCGCCAAAAUGAACACCUGAUGCAAGGAAAAUUGAAAACUGCGGGAGAGCUAGUAUUGCAAUGUUGGCAGUAUGGACAUCUAUACAUUACUCACAUGUUCCAUCAUUCAGUGCAUGAAAGGUGGACUGAUUUGGAUGCGCGCAUGAAAGUAAUUUAUCCCAGGAAAAAUGUAUCGGUAGAUGAAAGCGUUCCGAUAUUGACGGUGGGAAUACACAACUCCAUCUCUUCAGCCUGUCCAUAAAAGGUGGACCAAUUGCCAAACUCCCUGCUCCAACGACAAUUGAACAAUGUUGAAGGGCUGGUCUAAUAUUGAAAGUGGGACACUACAUCACUCCGCCCCACAAUGUGCGCGCAAGAAAGGUGUUCUAAAAUGGUUAAAACCUGGAAGUUAGGCAACCAACCGCACUCUAUUGAUUCCAGAAGGGCACCACAGGUAUCACACUAUAUAUAGUCUAUACUAUGGACACCUACACCAAGGGAACCAAUCUGAGAUUAUAUUGGCUAUGGAGUAGUGAUGUAUACAAGAGCGGAACAAGGGGAAGUGACGUUACUCACCGCAAAAUCAACGAUGGCAAGGUUGUUACUGAGAGCAGCAGCUGCAGUCCUAGUGCAACAUUCCUCCCUCAUGAUCCUGCCCAGGCAAGGCCGGAAUUAAUAAUGCUAAUGGUAAAUUUCGCGAUUUUAAGAUUCCAGAAGGGCAGUCUUAUAAAGGUAGGAUUUUUUCUCUUUUGCAUGGUGUUUUGCAUGUCAUAUUUUUGUGUAAAGGGGGGUAAAGUGAAUAGUGCAUAUAGUGACUAAAAGGAAGAUCGCCGACUGUAUUCAGCCAACUAAGAGAGUAGUAAAUGAGUUGUGACUAUCUUCUCAGUCUAUAAUCUUGGCAAUGUAAGAUUGACCCCAAUAAUUCUUGGAAUAGUCCCUUUUGCUGCCUGAGUCAGUUUACAUCAUAUUAAAAAGUGGCUAUGAAUUCAUAGUCACGCUAAUGAUAUGAUUUGAACGGAUUCGUCUGCGAACCAGACUAUAGAGAAGUUUUGAGGUCAAUUCUUUCGUUACCAAGUGCCAUGGUUUCGAGGAUUGUUAUGUCUCAUUUAUUACUACCUAUAUGAAGAUCGGCGUCAUAGUUUUUAAAGAGAGGUGAGUAAUUGAUUUUACUAAGUAGCAUUUUCAUUUAUAUUUACACUUUAUAGUUCAUAUAAUAUAUAUCUACCUAAAUAAUAUAAAUUAAGCGAUUUAGUUCUUUUUCUUGUAAGCUCUUGUAUAAAAAGUUCUCUUUAUAACUCACUUAAUUUUAAGUAAGCACAGUUUAGAAAUGUUUUUAACGUUAAUUUUCUGCUUGUUACAGAUUCCAGAAGGGCAGUUUUAUAAAGGUAGGAUUUUUUCUUUUAUUCAUUUCAUUUCAGCAGUGGGGGAAAAGUGAAUAGUGUCUAAAGAAGUUUUCAAUGGAUUCUCGUACAUCGUAAGUACAGUGUAAGUUGUCUUCUCAUCUUGGUAAGAAGAUUGAUUGCAAUGAUUCUUCGAAUGGUCUCUCUGGCAGGAUCAAUCAUUUGCAUCAUAUUAACGUGUAGGACUGUGAAUUCAUAGUUGUACUUUUUUUUAUGAAGUAAAGCGAUUGUCCUUGCGAACGAGCCUGUAAAAGACACAUUGAAAUCAGUCUUCCGUUUCCAAGUUGACUGAUAGUCAACGCCUUAUUAUUUUUGUUUUUUCUUUUGGUUGUGCAUCUGGGGUGCAUGAUCAUAAUACAUAAUACAUUUUGCUUAUAGUAUACCAAUUUGGAAGCAGUUCGGUUGGCAGGUGUGACCUUACAAUUAGUACUGUUUUAAAUUAAGGCUCAUUUCAUAAGGUGUUAUAACUAUCGUGUAGUGA